GAGCUGUAAUAUCAGGCCUAAGUUGUGGAGGGGACUGGGCUCCCAAAGCAUGACUCAUAGACAGCAUAGCACGACACGCAUGUGGCCUGGACCCCUCACAUGGUUAUAUUUGCAUGUUGGGGAUAUUUUGAUUAAAAUACCCCCGAAUAACUAGCGAGUGCUCUGUGAGGGAGUGCUUUUUUCAAAAGAACAAUGAAUCUCCAUUUUCGGGAGUGAAAAUCACGGCAAUGGAAGAUAAGAAAAAAGCUUCGAUGAAGAAAUUAGUGAGAAAUGAAAUCAAAUCAACGGAUUUAUAUGUGAAAAUCCUUUCAGACAAACCCUUGAAUGUCUCAAGAGUAAUAGCAUAGAUCCAAAACAUGUGGUGGUGGAUCAAAGGCUCAUUGGCUAUUGAAAGAGCAAGUGAUGAUGUGCUAUGGAUAUCUUUCUCAAGGGAGAAGGAUAUUCGAAACAUACUGAGGGAAGAACCAUGGACAGUUAAGGAUUACCCCCUGAUUUUAGUCCAGAGUUCUGAUACGUGCUUGGUUGAUGAGGUGUGCUUUGAAUACCAUUGAUAUGUGGGUAAGGAUAUUAAACGUUCCAAUCGCCUAUCGAACCAAGGAAAUGACAAACAUUCUGGCUCAAGAAGCUGGAAUGGUAGUAGAAGCUGAGUUUGACGGAGGAAGAAGAAAAAAGAAAACUGAAGAAUAGAAUAAAGGGCUGAGGAUAAGGGUGAAAAUAGAUGUGAGGAACCCCCUUGCGUUAGGAACCAAAGGAACUUUAGAAAAUGGAUGAGAAGGGGGGUUCCUAUUCCAAUAUGAAAACCUUCCCAUUUUUUGCUACAGAUGCAGACACCUGGGUCAUUUGGAGAAAUCAUGUAAAGAGGUGAAUUUGGAGCAAGUAAUUGAUGGCCUUUCCUCUAAAUUUACUAGGCAAAAUAUGGUGAACACGAGAGUUCCGGAGGAAUAUGGACCAUGGAUGAGAGCAGAAGUUGGUGAUGCAAAUAAUAGGUUCAUCAAUGCAAAAUAUCUUGAGAUUGGCCAGAACAAGCAAAAAAGAAGGAUACUGGAGCGGAUAAAAAUGCAGAGGUGGGAUUAGGGAGCAUCAAAGAGUACAUCAAAGUGAAGGAGCCAGAUGCCGAGAACAUGCCAAAUCUUCAGAUAAUCAAAACACCAGUAAAGAGAAGAUUAUUUCAUCAGAAAGAAAAGACGAUGCGGUGGAGAGGUUUUCAAAAGGUUUUAGAGGGAACAUCAAUGUUAUCCUAUCUCCGGUGUUUGUUUUUCCGUGAGGCACGACGGUGAUCACAGAAGAACGAUGGGUGAGGAGGCAGGUCAACCCAGGUCAAUCCACCUUUACCUAUCCUGGCUAUGGUGUCAGGGAAAUCUCUGCAAAUUUGUUUCCGUGUUACACAAAUCAAGGAAAAGCAAAACUUGCAAAUUGAAGCCUUGCCGAAAAUGAGUAGUGAGGUCGAUGGGCCGAUAAACCCAAAAAUAGGUUUAGAUGCAAAUUCGGGAAAUCCCUCAGACGAAGAAUCUCUGGCAUCCUCGGAAAAAGGAACAGAGGAAGACUUUCAAGUGGCGGGAAAGCAACCAUCUUCAGAUUCGGAGGCGACCUAGGAUACCUCAAAUACUUUGGGUCAAAACCCAAAUCCGAUGCUAAAAGAUAGCAACGGGAGGGAGUCGGCUGAGAGGGCAACAGGGUAAAAAAGAUUCAGAGAUUGUUUUGGGUUUCGUUCAAGGAGGCUUCUCUCCAGAAGGUCUGACUUAUUGCUCAAAGGUCCACGAGUCAUCGACAGAUCAGAUGAUAGUUACAUUUUCUCAAAGGUUGAUCUUAGAGAAGCGGGUACUCUUCUGGAAGCCAUCUCCCUCUAUGAAAAAGCUUCAGGCCAAUAGGUCAAUAGUGGAGAAAUCUCAAAUUUGGCUACAGAAAUUGGAAAGCUCUUCAAAGAGUGAAAGGAAGACGACCACUGCUUUUUGGUGCCCUCUAGACUCAUGCUGAUUAAAGAUCAACACGGAUGGAGGUUUUUUUGAAAAGAAUAAAGCUUCCUUUGGUUUUGUGGUUCAAGAUGUGGAUGGUUGUUGCUAGGGAGCUGAUUUUGGGCAAAUAUCGGCGUGCUCGACUCUUUUGGCUGAAGUUAAAGCUCUCCUAAAAGUAGUCCAAUUUGCAAUUGACAACAAUUUACAGAGUGUUUUUUUAAUCUGAUUGUGAUGUUCUGAUAGAUAGUUUAUCUGGUUGCAGCUCUACUAUUCCAAAUGUUUUGUUUUUCUUUAUUGAGGAUAUUAAAGCUCUUUCAGCAGGAAGAAGUUUCAUUUUUGUGAAAUCCUUAAGAGAAGCUAAUACAACUGCUCAUGCUACAACAAGAUGUGGUUUCAGUCAAUCAUUUAGAUUUGGAUCAGCAAUUCCCCUCUGUUUGGCAUUAAAUCUGUAUUCAGAUUUUAAAUCUUCUUUCUUUGUU